GUCAAUUUCUUAUUCAAUUUAUUGUUGAUGUAAAGUGGACAUAACAUGCAACGCUGCGCAAGCUGUCAAAUAGAGGGCCUUAGCCUUAUUACUAACCUGAUAAGACCACUCAAACGAAUAAAAGAAGAAGAUCAUUUGACAUUUUCGAAUAGUCCCAAAAGUUUAAAAAUUUAAUAUUUAGAAAUUUUUUAUGAACGGAAAUACUAAAUAGUCCAGCUUUUUCAAUAAUAAAUGGCAAUCAGAUAUGGUAUGUAUAAAUUCGAUAUGUAUUUGUUGGCUCAUGCCAGAUAGGUACCAUUCUCAGGAAUUUAGAUUCGAAAGUUUACAAAUGAAUAUUGCAAUCAUAGAUGUUAAUUUUUUUGCAAAUUUCCCAAGUGAUUCCCACAACGAAUGAGUGCAAAGAAAGUUAUUCAAGAAAUAUUCAUAAAUCAGGCAGGAGGAUCCCUUUGAAUGAACCAGCAGUUUCAGUUUAGAAAGAGAUCGUUCAGCAGACCCAACAGAUAUGGGCAGAAUGCGAAGAGCUAUUGUUAAAUUUGGGCAAACUUAAGUUAAUUCAAGUAUUAUUCCAGUUCUCAAUAGAAGUGUUAUUCCAGAGAUGCAGAGACGUCAGUUGCGACAUAUACGCAUGUCUGGUUGAUUACGAG
rnacentral:lncRNA from 1 species